rnacentral:rRNA from 1 species
UGUGGGCAGGAUGAAAAUUCUAAGGCGCUUGAGAGAACUCAGGAGAAGGAACUCGGCAAAUUAACACCGUAACUUCGGGAGAAGGUGUGCCCCGGUAGCGUGUAGAGACUUGCUCUCGAAGCGCGAUGGGGUUGCAGUGAAAUGGUGGCUGCGACUGUUUAAUAAAAACACAGCACUCUGCAAACACGAAAGUGGACGUAUAGGGUGUGACGCCUGCCCGGUGCCGGAAGGUUAAGUGAUGGGGUGCAAGCUCUUGAUCGAAGCCCCGGUAAACGGCGGCCGUAACGAUAACGGUCCUAAGGUAGCGAAAUUCCUUGUCGGGUAAGUUCCGACCUGCACGAAUGGCGUAACGAUGGCCACACUGUCUCCUCCUGGGACUCAGCGAAGUUGAAAUGUUUGUGAAGAUGCAAUCUACCCGCGGCUAGACGGAAAGACCCCAUGAACCUUUACUGUAGCUUUGCAUUGGACUUUGAACCGGUUUGUGUAGGAUAGGUGGGAGACUGUGAAGCCGGGACGCUAGUCUCGGUGGAGUCAACCUUGAAAUACCACCCUGAUUUGUUUGAGGUUCUAACCUUGGUCCGUGAAUCCGGAUCGGGGACCGUGCAUGGUAGGCAGUUUGACUGGGGCGGUCUCCUCCCAAAAGGUAACGGAGGAGUACGAAGGUACGCUUAGGGCGGUCGGACAUCGCCCACAAAGUGCAAUGGCAAAAGCGUGCUUGACUGCGAGACCCACAAGUCGAGCAGGUACGAAAGUAGGUCAUAGUGAUCCGGUGGUUCUGUAUGGAAGGGCCAUCGCUCAACUGAUAAAAGGUACUCUGGGGAUAACAGGCUAAUUCCUCCCAAGAGUUCAUAUCGACGGGGGAGUUUGGCACCUCGAUGUCGGCUCAUCACAUCCUGGGGCUGUAGUCGGUCCCAAGGGUAUGGCUGUUCGCCAUUUAAAGUGGUACGCGAGCUGGGUUUAAAACGUCGUGAGACAGUUUGGUCCCUAUCUGCCGUGGGCGCUGGAAAUUUGAAGGGGGCUGCUCCUAGUACGAGAGGACCGGAGUGGACGAACCUCUGGUGUACCGGUUAUGACGCCAGUCGUAUCGCCGGGUAGCUAAGUUCGGAAGAGAUAAACGCUGAAAGCAUCUAAGCGUGAAACUCGCCUUAAGAUAAGAUUUCCCGGAGUCUUGAACUCCCUGAAGGGUCGUCGAAGACCACGACGUUGAUAGGUCAGGUGUGGAAGCGCAGCAAUGCGUUAAGCUAACUGAUACUAAUUGCCCGUGCGGCUUGAUCAA